UUAGCUGAGUAGUUGUUGCAUCUGGGAGGAGCUGAAGAAGACGCUGGUGUCACAGGGUUCCUUACAUACAUAUUUGGAAUAACCAGGACAGACUGGAAAGAAGGAAUAAAAACAAGCAAUAUGGUUACUACAAUCCUAUGCAAUUUCCCCUGGUACCAUCAGAGUGAAGGACAAAGAGCAUUCUGAAUGAAGACCAAAAUGGUUAACGUGGCCAUUGAGGUAGGAUGACAGCUUCCAGCCCAACCUCAUUUUAUACCAUGUUGCUCCAU
rnacentral:lncRNA from 1 species